rnacentral:rRNA from 1 species
AUAUACGACCGUACCGCAAACCGACACUGGUGCGCGAGAUGAGUAUUCUAAGGCGCUUGAGAGAACUCAGGAGAAGGAACUCGGCAAAUUGACACCGUAACUUCGGAAGAAGGUGUGCCCUAUUAGUGUGUAGUGAACAACGAAGCAUGAAUGGGUUGCAAAAAAUCGGUGGCUGCGACUGUUUAUUAAAAACACAGCACUCUGCAAACACGAAAGUGGACGUAUAGGGUGUGACGCCUGCCCGGUGCUGGAAGAUUAAAUGAUGGGGUGCAAGCUCUUGAUUGAAGUCCCAGUAAACGGCGGCCGUAACUAUAACGGUCCUAAGGUAGCGAAAUUCCUUGUCGGGUAAGUUCCGACCUGCACGAAUGGCGUAACGAUGGCCACACUGUCUCCUCCUGAGACUCAGCGAAGUUGAAAUGUUUGUGAUGAUGCAAUCUCCCCGCGGAAAGACGGAAAGACCCCAUGAACCUUUACUGUAGCUUUGUAUUGGACUUUGAACAGAUCUGUGUAGGAUAGGUGGGAGGCUUUGAAGCAGGGUCGCUAGAUCUUGUGGAGCCAAUGUUGAAAUACCACCCUGGUGUGUUUGAGGUUCUAACCUAGGUCCAUUAUCUGGAUCGGGGACAGUGCAUGGUAGGCAGUUUGACUGGGGCGGUCUCCUCCCAAAGCGUAACGGAGGAGUUCGAAGGUACGCUAGUUACGGUCGGACAUCGUGACGAUAGUGCAAUGGCAUAAGCGUGCUUAACUGCGAGACUGACAAGUCGAGCAGAUGCGAAAGCAGGACAUAGUGAUCCGGUGGUUCUGUAUGGAAGGGCCAUCGCUCAACGGAUAAAAGGUACUCUGGGGAUAACAGGCUGAUACCGCCCAAGAGUUCAUAUCGACGGCGGUGUUUGGCACCUCGAUGUCGGCUCAUCUCAUCCUGGGGCUGUAGCCGGUCCCAAGGGUAUGGCUGUUCGCCAUUUAAAGAGGUACGUGAGCUGGGUUUAAAACGUCGUGAGACAGUUUGGUCCCUAUCUUCCGUGGGCGCUGCAGAUUUGAGGAAGCCUGCUCCUAGUACGAGAGGACCGGAGUGGACACACCUCUGGUGUAUCGGUUGUCACGCCAGUGGCAUUGCCGAGUAGCUAAGUGUGGAAGAGAUAACCGCUGAAAGCAUCUAAGCGGGAAACUCGUUUCAAGAUGAGAUCUGCCGGGGCCUUGAGCCCCCUAAAGAGUCGUUCAAGACCAGGACGUUGAUAGGUCAGGUGUGGAAGC